GGGUCAGGAGGUUGGUCGUGCCACCGGUACGUACUGGUCUCACUGAUUCCUCCUUCCUGAAGAACCGUAAUGCCAUUAAUUUGGUGUUGCGGGGAAACAGGACUGUUACUUUGAAAAAAUUAGAGUGUUUAAAGCAAGCUAACGCUUGAAUACAUUAGCAUGGAAUAAUGAAAUAGGACGAUCGAUCCUAUUUUGUUGGUUCCUAGGAUUGACGUA
rnacentral:rRNA from 1 species